UACGUAGGGUGCGAGCGUUGUCCGGAAUUACUGGGCGUAAAGAGCUCGUAGGCGGCUUGUCGCGUUGUCCGUGAAAAUUUACAGCUCAACUGUGAACUUGCGGGCGAUACGGGCAGGCUAGAGUACUGCAGGGGAGACUGGAAUUCCUGGUGUAGCGGUGAAAUGCGCAGAUAUCAGGAGGAACACCGGUGGCGAAGGCGGGUCUCUGGGCAGUAACUGACGCUGAGGAGCGAAAGCGUGGGGAGCGAACAGGAUUAGAAACCCUGUAGUCC
rnacentral:rRNA from 1 species